UGGCCGUAAACGAUGUGGACUUGGUGUUGGAAUGGCUCCGAGCUGCUCCAGUGCCGAAGGGAAGCUGUUAGGUCCGCCGCCUGGGAAGUACGGUCGCAAGACUGAAACUUAAAGGAAUUGGCGGGGGGAGCACCACAACGCGUGGAGCCUGCGGUUUAAUUGGACUCAACGCCGGACAACUCACCGGGAACGACAGCAAUAUGUAGGCCAGGCUGAAGACCUUGCCUGAAUCGCUGAGAGGUGGUGCAUGGCGUAGACGUCU
rnacentral:rRNA from 1 species